GGAUCAACUCACUAUCCUGAAGGUCCAUUCUCCCAAGAAGAGGGGACAGAAAGACAGAUCUAUUUGUAAGAAAGGCUUGGGUAUCCCAUGAACGAGCCAACAGAAAACCGAUUGGGGUGCAGCAGGACUCCAGAGCCAGAUAUAAGGCUCAGAAAAGGGCACCAACUGGAUGGUACACGAAGAGGUGAUAAUGACAGCCACCAAGGAGAUUUGGAGCCCAUUUUAGAGGCAUCUGUUCUAUCUUCCCAUCAUAAAAAAGCUGGAGUGCAAUGGCACGAUCUCGGCUCACUGCAACCCCCACCUCCUGGGUUCAAGCGAUUCUCCUGUCUCAAGCCUGCUGAGUAUCUGGGAUUACAGGCGCUCGCCACCUCACCUGGCUGAUUCUUGUAUUUGUAGUAGAGACAGGGUUUCACCACGUUGGCCAGGCUGGUCUCGACCUCCUGACCUCAGGUGGUGCACCCACGUUGGCCUCCCAAAGUGCUGGGAUUACAGAUGUGCGACACUGUGCCUGGCCGGAAAUAAUUCUUUUAUAAAGAUUCUGAAUCUUGCUGAUAUAUUGGGAUGGAUGGAAAUAUUUAUCUUUACUAAAGUAAUUUUUUUUUUUUUUUGAGACAGGGUGUAGCUCUGUUGCCCAGGCUGGAAUGCAAUGGCAAGAUCACAGCUCAUUGCAACCUCGACCUCCUGGGGCUCAAGGAGUCCUCCCCCUCAGCCUCUUGAGUAGCUGGGACUGCAGACAGGCACGCAACACCACUCCUGGCUAAUUUUUAUAUUUUUUGUAGAGAUGGGGUUUUACCAUGUUGCCCAGGCUGGUCUCGAGCUCCUGGGCUCAAGCCAUCCUCCUGUCUUGGCCGCUAUCAGUAGUCUUAUAUGUAACCAGUUGCACUUAGCCUGAUAAUCAGAAUUACUGAUUGUGAGUAAUCUCACUGAUUACUUACUGAGUCACAUUGAUUCGGAGUGCAGUUUCAUCAUGUUUACUUAAUGGUAGUAUACAUUAGCCAUAUUGUGUUUUAUGUACAUAUCUGUAGUUUUGAAAUGGCUGACAGUAAUUUGUAUGAGAAUAAAGACUCUUUGUUUCUGUUU
rnacentral:lncRNA from 1 species